GGGGAAUAUUGCGCAAUGGGGGAAACCCUGACGCAGCAAUACCGCGUGAGUGAAGAAGGUUUUCGGAUCGUAAAGCUCUGUUAUUGGGGAAGAAAAAAAGACGGUACCCAAGAAGAAAGUCCCGGCUAACUACGUGCCAGCAGCCGCGGUAAUACGUAGGGGACAAGCGUUGUCCGGAUUUACUGGGCGUAAAGCGUGCGCAGGCGGAUAUUUAAGUGAGAUGUGAAAGACCCGGGCUUAACCCGGGCAGUGCAUUUCAAACUGGAUAUCUAGAGUGCAGGAGAGGAGAACGGAAUUCCUAGUGUAGCGGUGAAAUGCGUAGAGAUUAGGAAGAACACCAGUGGCGAAGGCGGUUCUCUGGACUGUAACUGACGCUGAGGCACGAAAGCGUGGGUAGCAAACA
rnacentral:rRNA from 2 species